UACGUAGGGUGCAAGCGUUGUCCGGAAUUAUUGGGCGUAAAGAGCUCGUAGGCGGUUUGUCGCGUCUGCUGUGAAAACGCGAGGCUCAACCUCGCGCCUGCAGUGGGUACGGGCAGACUAGAGUGCGGUAGGGGAGAUUGGAAUUCCUGGUGUAGCUGUGGAAUGCGCAGAUAUCAGGAGGAACACCGAUGGCGAAGGCAGAUCUCUGGGCCCUUACUGACGCUGAGGAGCGAAAGCGUGGGGAGCGAACAGG
rnacentral:rRNA from 1 species